GUAGGGGGCAAGCGUUGUCCGGAUUCAUUGGGCGUAAAGAGCGUGUAGGCGGCCAGGUAGGUCGGUUGUGAAAACUGGAGGCUCAACCUUCAGACGUCGAUCGAAACCAUCUGGCUAGAGUCCGGGAGAGGAGAGUGGAAUUCCUGGUGUAGCGGUGAAAUGCGCAGAUAUCAGGAAGAACACCCGUGGCGAAAGCGGCUCUCUGGAACGGUACUGACGCUGAGACGCGAAAGCGUGGGGAGCGAACAGGAUUAGAUACCCUGGUAGUCCACGCCGUAAACGAUGGGCGCUAGGUGUGGGGGGUGUCGACUCCCUCCGUGCCGAAGCUAACGCAUUAAGCGCCCCGCCUGGGGAGUACGGCCGCAAGGCUA
rnacentral:rRNA from 1 species